rnacentral:rRNA from 1 species
GACGAACGCUGGCGGCGUGCCUAAUACAUGCAAGUAGAACGCUGAAGAGAGGAGCUUGCUCUUCUUGGAUGAGUUGCGAACGGGUGAGUAACGCGUAGGUAACCUGCCUUGUAGCGGGGGAUAACUAUUGGAAACGAUAGCUAAUACCGCAUAACAAUGGAUGACCCAUGUCAUUUAUUUGAAAGGGGCAAAUGCUCCACUACAAGAUGGACCUGCGUUGUAUUAGCUAGUAGGUGAGGUAACGGCUCACCUAGGCGACGAUACAUAGCCGACCUGAGAGGGUGAUCGGCCACACUGGGACUGAGACACGGCCCAGACUCCUACGGGAGGCAGCAGUAGGGAAUCUUCGGCAAUGGGGGCAACCCUGACCGAGCAACGCCGCGUGAGUGAAGAAGGUUUUCGGAUCGUAAAGCUCUGUUGUAAGUCAAGAACGAGUGUGAGAGUGGAAAGUUCACACUGUGACGGUAGCUUACCAGAAAGGGACGGCUAACUACGUGCCAGCAGCCGCGGUAAUACGUAGGUCCCGAGCGUUGUCCGGAUUUAUUGGGCGUAAAGCGAGCGCAGGCGGUUUGAUAAGUCUGAAGUUAAAGGCUGUGGCUCAACCAUAGUUCGCUUUGGAAACUGUCAAACUUGAGUGCAGAAGGGGAGAGUGGAAUUCCAUGUGUAGCGGUGAAAUGCGUAGAUAUAUGGAGGAACACCGGUGGCGAAGGCGGCUCUCUGGUCUGUAACUGACGCUGAGGCUCGAAAGCGUGGGGAGCGAACAGGAUUAGAUACCCUGGUAGUCCACGCCGUAAACGAUGAGUGCUAGGUGUUGGAUCCUUUCCGGGAUUCAGUGCCGCAGCUAACGCAUUAAGCACUCCGCCUGGGGAGUACGACCGCAAGGUUGAAACUCAAAGGAAUUGACGGGGGCCCGCACAAGCGGUGGAGCAUGUGGUUUAAUUCGAAGCAACGCGAAGAACCUUACCAGGUCUUGACAUCCCGAUGCUAUUUCUAGAGAUAGAAAGUUACUUCGGUACAUCGGUGACAGGUGGUGCAUGGUUGUCGUCAGCUCGUGUCGUGAGAUGUUGGGUUAAGUCCCGCAACGAGCGCAACCCCUAUUGUUAGUUGCCAUCAUUCAGUUGGGCACUCUAGCGAGACUGCCGGUAAUAAACCGGAGGAAGGUGGGGAUGACGUCAAACCAUCAUGCCCCUUAUGACCUGGGCUACACACGUGCUACAAUGGUUGGUACAACGAGUUGCGAGUCGGUGACGGCAAGCUAAUCUCUUAAAGCCAAUCUCAGUUCGGAUUGUAGGCUGCAACUCGCCUACAUGAAGUCGGAAUCGCUAGUAAUCGCGGAUCAGCACGCCGCGGUGAAUACGUUCCCGGGCCU